GACUCUCAAGGAGUGGCCUCAAAGGCAGCCUCACUGUCAUGCCAGCAUGUACCUACUGUGGAAAGGUGUUUCUAGAGACUGCAUCCCAUUCCCUGUCCUGAUUUGACCACAUGGGUACCUUUGCAGUGGAAGGAAACCAGACUUUGACAAGCAUUCUGGACAGCCUAGUAAUUGUGUGCUAAGUGUAUAAUCCUAACGAGAAUGGAAAGACCUGACUCUUUGGAAGCUCCUGCAAGACUUCAAAGGAAUUACCAGGAAUUACCAGAGGAGAAAACAGACACUGAAUGGGAAAUGAAUUACCCACAGACAGCAAAUAAGUAAUAUGCAAAGUUAUGAGAGGAGCCCAAGUGUCCUGACUCCUUUCUUCCUUCUCUGACCAUGCCAGUGAGCUGGAAUAGCAAAUGCCACACACACAAAACAAUCACACAUGCUGUUGCCUUGUAGAAAUGCUUCACUCUUUAAUUUUAGUCAAGACUUCCAUGUAUACUUCUUCCUUGCCCUUUUAAGUAUUUAUCCAUAGCUAUGUCUAGCCACACUGAUGAAUAUAGCAAAGGGAGAUGGAGGGCAAAAGAAUCGUGAUCCAGAGCAAUGGGUAUUCGUGGGGUAGGAGAUGGAAUAGGAGCAUUUUCCUCUUCUCCCGCACUUAUUAGCAUAGAAAGAUUUGUAGGAAGAGUAGUGGGGUUUUCUAAUUAGACCAACUGAUGCAUCUGGGAGA